rnacentral:rRNA from 1 species
UACGAAGGGGGCUAGCGUUGUUCGGAAUCACUGGGCGUAAAGGGCGCGUAGGCGGCUAUUCAAGUCGGGGGUGAAAGCCUGUGGCUCAACCACAGAAUUGCCUUCGAUACUGUUUGGCUUGAGACCGGAAGAGGUAAGUGGAACUGCGAGUGUAGAGGUGAAAUUCGUAGAUAUUCGGAAGAACACCAGUGGCGAAGGCGGCUCACUGGUCCGGUACUGACGCUGAGGUGCGAAAGCGUGGGGAGCAAACAGG